AAUAAGUGUAGUUUUGCACUGUUUAUGUCUAACGUUUGACCGUUCGUCUUAUUUAAAAAUUUUUUACGAUUAAUAUUUUUAUUGUUAUUAGAUGAUAAAACAUGAAUAGUAUUUUAUGUGUGACUAAUUUUUUUUAAUUUUCUCAUAAAUUUUUCAAAUAAGACGGACGGUCAAACGUUGAACACGGAUUCUCACUGCUAUACUUAUU
rfam:Oryza glaberrima chromosome 3 Oglab03_0146_17, whole genome shotgun sequence.